rnacentral:rRNA from 1 species
ACUCCUACGGGAGGCAGCAGUGGGAAUAUUGCACAAUGGGGAAAGCCCAUCGAUGCAGCCAUGCCGCGUGUGUGAAGAAGGCCUUCGGGUUGUAAAGCACUUUCAGUAGGGAGGAAGGUAGUGUAGUUAACACCUGCACUAUUUGACGUUACCUACAGAAGAAGCACCGGCUAACUCCGUGCCAGCAGCCGCGGUAAUACGGAGGGUGCGAGCGUUAAUCGGAAUUACUGGGCGUAAAGCGCGCGUAGGCGGCUUGAUAAGCCGGUUGUGAAAGCCCGGCUGCAACCUGGGAACGGCAUCCGGAACUGUCAGGCUAGAGUGCAGGAGAGAAGGUAGAAUUCCCGGUGUAGCGGUGAAAUGCGUAGAGAUCGGGAGGAAUACCAGUGGCGAAGGCGGCCUUCUGGACUGACACUGACGCUGAGGUGCGAAAGCGUGGGUAGCAAACAGGAUUAG